CACAACCUGAUCUUAAAAGCCUA
rnacentral:siRNA from 1 species